rnacentral:rRNA from 1 species
GAUGAACGCUGGCGGCGUGCCUAAUACAUGCAAGUCGAGCGAACAGACGAGGAGCUUGCUCCUCUGACGUUAGCGGCGGACGGGUGAGUAACACGUGGAUAACCUACCUAUAAGACUGGGAUAACUUCGGGAAACCGGAGCUAAUACCGGAUAAUAUAUUGAACCGCAUUGUUCAAUAGUGAAAGACGGUUUUGCUGUCACUUAUAGAUGGAUCCGCGCCGCAUUAGUUAGUUGGUAAGGUAACGGCUUACCAAGGCAACGAUGCGUAGCCGACCUGAGAGGGUGGUCGGCCACACUGGAACUGAGACACGGCCCAGACUCCUACGGGAGGCAGCAGUAGGGAAUCUUCCGCAAUGGGGGAAAGCCGGACGGAGCAACGCCGCGUGAAUGAUGAAGGUCUUCUGAUCGGAAAACUCUGUUAUUAGGGAAGAACAAAUGUGUAAGUAACUAUGCACAUCUUGACGGUACCUAAUCAGAAAGCCACGGCUAACUACGUG